GUAGAGCACUCCUACGGGAGGCAGCAGUGGGGAAUAUUGCACAAUGGGCGCAAGCCUGAUGCAGCCAUGCCGCGUGUAUGAAGAAGGCCUUCGGGUUGUAAAGUACUUUCAGCAGUGAGGAAGGUGGAUAUGUUAAUAACAUAUUCAUUUGACGUUAGCUGCAGAAGAAGCACCGGCUAACUCCGUGCCAGCAGCCGCGGUAAUACGGAGGGUGCGAGCGUUAAUCGGAAUUACUGGGCGUAAAGCGCAUGCAGGUGGUUUGUUAAGUCAGAUGUGAAAGCCCGGGGCUCAACCUCGGAAUUGCAUUUGAAACUGGCAAACUAGAGUACUGUAGAGGGGGUAGAAUUUCAGGUGUAGCGGUGAAAUGCGUAGAGAUCUGAAGGAAUACCGGUGGCGAAGGCGGCCCCCUGGACAGAUACUGACACUCAGAUGCGAAAGCGUGGGGAGCAAACAGGAUUAGAUACCCUGGUAG
rnacentral:rRNA from 1 species